rnacentral:rRNA from 1 species
UAGGGAAUCUUCGGCAAUGGGGGGACCCUGACCGAGCAACGCCGCGUGAGUGAAGAAGGUUUUCGGAUCGUAAAGCUCUGUUGUUAAGGAAGAACGAGUGUGAGAAUGGAAAGUUCAUGCUGUGACGGUACUUAACCAGAAAGGGACGGCUAACUACGUGCCAGCAGCCGCGGUAAUACGUAGGUCCCGAGCGUUGUCCGGAUUUAUUGGGCGUAAAGCGAGCGCAGGCGGUUAGAAAAGUCUGAAGUGAAAGGCAGUGGCUCAACCAUUGUCGGCUUUGGAAACUGUUUAACUUGAGUGCAGAAGGGGAGAGUGGAAUUCCAUGUGUAGCGGUGAAAUGCGUAGAUAUAUGGAGGAACACCGGUGGCGAAAGCGGCUCUCUGGUCUGUAACUGACGCUGAGGCUCGAAAGCGUGGGGAGCGAACAGG